AGAUCACUAACUUGGGUUUUAGAUCAGAAGAUACUGCUGUUGCUUCAGUUGUAUGAGAAGAAUAAUCAAAGUCUUAUAAACUCUAGGAUCCUCCUGUGGGGUCCAGCUGCUGUGGAGCAUCACAAGACUUGCAAGAGUCUGGGGAAGUCCUUGUGGCAGCAGCCAAGCAUGGAGGAGAUUCUGCGUCUGCUGGAUCGAGAGAAGAUGAUGAAGACGGUUCUGUCGUUCCCUCAGCAUCGUCGGCUGCUGCCAUCACAGGGGAUACAAGAGUCACUAUAUAAAGAUGAAACAGUGAAGAGCCUAGAUGACUUCUACGAUCCUUGUUUUCUGCUUCAGCUCUUCAGUGAACUGACCAGACCAGGUAAAGUGUGUGUUUCUCUUUGGUAUGUAGU